ACAGCUCCGUAGGCCCCGCCGAUGUCUGGGUUUGCCUCUGAGAGGCAAGUCCUCCGAGGGCUUGGACAACUUACUUCCAGAUUACAAUCGUUCGUAACCCAAAAAAAGGCUGACAACAUGGCUGUAUGAGAAAACUCGAUGUAUGGUGCUUCCCAUUUACGGAGGGUUUCCAGUGAAAUUGAGGACAUUUAUUGGAGAACCCAUCCCAUAUGAUCCAAAUAUAACAGCUGUAGAGCUGGCUGAAAGAGCGAAGAUUGCACUUGAAAAUCUUCGGGAUAAACACCAAAAAAGGCCAGGAAAUAUAUUAAGAGCUCUUUCAGAACGAUUUGAUAAGCAUUACAAAGCUAACUAGUCCAUAUAAAACAGUUGCAGUGUUUCUGACGAGGUGUCUGUAA